GUAUGUCUGGGCCAGCUGUGCAAGGCACUGCUGGGGCUCCCGGGCUGGGAGCCAGGGACAGGCACCGUCACAGCAGCCAAGGGGCCCCCAUACCACCCCAGCACCUGCUGGCCCUGAACCAGCUGCUCCUUGAGAGCUUUUACUGACUCUUCCGCUUGGCAGCAUUUUAAUCUGCUGGUGCAAGAGCCUUGUCGCUUCCUCAAAGCCUGUGCCCAUGGCCGUGGGCAGCUGCCUGUCCCCGUGUAGGCAGAGCUGCGUCAUGCCUUGUGGCCCCAGGUCCGGCUCUGGGGUUCUGGCUGGGCGGGGCCUGGAACCUUCUGGGAGUCACCACUGACUGGCUGCAGCCACCGGCUUCCCAGCAAGGACAUCCCCUUCUGCAGGAAAAUGGGGACGUCGGGAGCAUUCUCUGGACAGCAGGAGAUGCAUGUCGACAGGCUGGCCCUGCCUCUUCCCACCCCAGAGUGAUGCAGCGGUGUCCUGGACCCCUGGGGAGAGGUGACCCCCCAGCAGGAAGCUGGGCCUCGUUCCUGUCCCUCCACAGCCACAAGGCCUGGCCAGGACGCUGGGAGCACCACGCCCUGGAGACUCAGCUCACCAAGGACUCAGGGGUGGCGGCUCCCCUGGCACCUGGGAAGCUGGGCCCCCCGGCCCCCUGGACUCCCACCCAGACACCAUCUCAACCCAGGCACUUCCCCCUGGGCCAGAGGGCAGCCUGGCAGCCCUGGACUCCAGGAGGGCCGAGUCUGGGGAACUGGAGGACGUCACAUUCCACUCUUGAUGAUGCCGCCCCAGUACUACAAUCUGGACAGCAGGAGAAGCUGCCCAUUUCCUCCAUCUCCGGUAAUGAGAAGCAAAUGCUGAUCCUGGCCGUCUCCUGGCUCCCGGGUCCCUAGGUUCCUGCUGCCCCUGCCAGUUCCUGGAAGAUGCCAGCAGGAGGGAGGGCGGUGGAGCUGGACUUGUGCCCACAACAGGAUCUGGCCAUAAACGCAGUCAGGGCGAGGCUGCGGGGUGGGCAGCUGAGCCUCCUGGUGGACAAUCUCCCCUCCCACCCCCCGCCGUGGCCCGCAGCUGUCGGCUCUUCCUGGGAAGCCGCAGCCUUUGUUUGUUUCUUGAAGGAGCUGGUGCAUUGCCUGUGAGCUCCUCUGCAGGCUUGGGGGUCGCACCUGCUGUCCACCCCGCCGAAACCAGCUCCAUCCAGCAGCAGGCUGCAAGCCUGGAGAGGCCACCGGGGACCAGGCAGGGAAACUGAGGUCCCAAAAAGGCAGGGAACUGGUGCAGGGGGCCUGUCUGACCUGCGCUGGGACUGGGCCAGGUGAGUCUCCUCCAGGGUCCAGCCUCAUCUUGGACAGAGGAAGUUGAUAGUCAGGAAAGGCAGGAGUGGCCUCUUGUAACAAUUUCAGCUCUGAAGGGGAGGAGGGUGGCGAUGCUGACAGCAUUUCCUCCAGCUCCCACCUGCCUGCUCCGGGGAACUCCCCACCCAGGCAUCGAUAUUCACCUGGUGAUACUAAUAAUUGUCUCAGGUGAUAAAUUGUCUCAGCUGCUCUCCCACAUGGCCCACGGGUCCCUGGAGGUUCCUCGGAUCCUUUUGGGGAGACCAUGGGCCCUAAACGAUCUUCAUAACAAAACUGAGAAGUGGCCUGGCUUCUUCACUGUGCUCAUGUGUGCUCGGAUCCAGCGUGGCCCGACUGGGCAGCUCCUUUCCUUCCCUGACACUGCUCCAGGGGAAAGAAGGGCCAGGGUCAAUCUGGGGUGCCCCAGGUGGAUCAGCGAAUGCCCCUGAAGCCAGGUGCCAGUUGCAUCCCCGUCAGAUGCCCCCACCCCAGUCUCCUGAGCCUCAUUAGUCACCCCUCAUUUUCCUCUGGGGACCCCAGGCCCCAGCUCCUGUCUGGUUAGAGGCUGAAGGGGUCUGAGCGACACCUACCCUAGGGGACCUCCGGAGGGGUCUUGGUGUCCUCUGACUUCUGUCCUCAGAAGGGAGCUCAGAAUGCAGCUGAGGCUUCCCCUGGGGCCCAGGGUGUCUGUGUCCGAGCCACAGCCAGAGUGUGCCCUGGAGAGCCGCUGGGAUGCACGGUGGGCUCUCGUCAUCCUGUCCCCACUCCAGGCUCAGGCUGGAGCCGUGAUGGCACCGCUGCACUCCAACCUGGGCAACAGAGUGAGACCCUGUCUCUAU